UUUGACCCUGGAGGGGUUACAGGUGUGGCUGCUGUGUCACAUGUGCCUUAGUAAGUGGCAUAAGGGAGAUAGGCUACAUCUAUGCUCAGUGUUCUGACCUAUAAACAUCUGAAUGAUUAGUAGACUAACAUU